GGAAGCACACACAGAAGAAAUUUCUUGGUCAAGGAAUCAUGAACCUGUGAUAAACCGUUUCUCACGCAAGUUCUUCCACAGUCCCCUUUAUCAGCCUUUUAACAUCAUAGAAGGUAAUGAGCAAGCAUGCGUUUGGCUUGCCCUAACUUACAGUGAUAUAUCAAGCAAAACGAAUCGAAAGUAUAACGUUAUCCGUUUGUGCACAUACGUUACAACAAAAACGAGCGUUUAUACUUUUCUUUGAAUUACUGUUACUGUUAGCUAUUCUGCCUAUUCAACCAUUUAACUUAAAUUAGAUUAGGUAGCUAUCACCACCAGGAAAAUGAUGUCUUAUGUCUAUAAAUAUUUAGGCUAGUGUUUUGUUAUCCUUGAAGUUAGUGCAGUAAACAGAAAAACACAAGUAAAAUCAAAUAGAGAGAGUAAAUAUAUAUUACUAACACAUUCUAUACUACCUACUAUAUUAGUGUAGGCCUACUGCCCAUAUUUGUCUGUAUAUUUUGUUUAGAACAGGCUCAAAGUGCUGAUAGAAGAUGCCGAUGUGUACCAGAAGUAAAACAGAAGAUCAAGAUGAGGACGAAGACUACCUCUUCGAUCCGGACCAGCUGACAGACCGGUUGCCACAACCUUUCCGCAUGAUUGACAAGGUACCCAACUACUCUGACAAUGAUCAGCCUUCUAAGUACAUUUCUUUAGCGUUAUUGUCAUGAAUAACCUGGAAAUAUGAACACAAACCUGUAAAUGAUGUGUUGUGUCUGGUUCGAGGUGGUCUCUGCUCUGCUGGAUAGGACCUGGGAGGAGAUAUCAGCGAGGGAGGAACAUAAAACACAAAAGAAGCUGCCUGUGAAGCAACCUACACAGGAGAUUGAGGUGCCUGGAAGUACCAACUGCCUGGCGUAUUCAGAAGAUGGCACAUACAUCUUCCUGGGUCAUGCCCAUGGCCUCUCCGUCAUUGACACUACUUCUUACACUUGUGAAGGGCUGUGGAAGGAGAGUGAUGUUGAAAUCACUUCCAUUCAGAGCACCUGCCUUGGAAGCUCAGUCCAUCUCCUCAGCACCGUGGAUGACAUGGGUGAGUUCAGCUUGGUAUGAAGAUCUAAACAGUGGCAGUUUUACACUAUCUUAGCUUUAUACGACCUCCAUGUGCUAGCUGUCAUCCAUUCAAGAUACUUCCACACUGGCAGAAAUUCUUCCAUGAUAAUUAUUUUGGGUGCACACCACUUAUUGAUGACAGAGAUGGACUCCUAGGGUGUCUUAUUUUGUUAGAAAGAAAUGGUAACAUAACUUAAACUUUCUUGUUUCUUUCAUUUAUGUGGACUAUGUGUUGGUUAGUGUGUUUUUUUUUUACAGAGUCUGAGUCGCUCUGUUCUCGGACAUAACUAUUACAGGGCUGGUUAAAGGUGAUUAUUGGAAGACAUCGGAAGACAAAUUAAUUGACAGGAAAAUGAAUGGGGAAGUCCAUAACUUUAAACAUGGCAGAUUUGGAACUGGAAGUCCUGCCCUGUAUUAUAAAGAGCCAAUCACAU
rnacentral:lncRNA from 1 species